CGACUGACACAAGGAAGCUUAUGACUCCACAAUAAUAUUACCAAAGUACAGGGAAACUGUAAGGAGCUCUGCCUGUUUAGAUGGGAUGGCAACUUUAACCAGCGAACGGAGAGCGUUUGCGCACAAAAUUAACAGGACGGUUGCGUCUGAGGUCAGAAAGCAAGUUUCCAGGGAAUAUGGCUCCCCACAGAUGUCCAAAAAACGUGCUGGAGCUCAUCAGCCGGUGCCUUUGACGGAGGUGGUGGAGCCGGUGGAUUAUGAGGAGUAUGUGAGCAGUCAUCCUCCUGGAGCAGAGCCUGGACCCCUCAGACAGCUGCUGGAGUUUCCCAGAGAUGACCUUGAGCUGGUUCUGCAGGAGAGAGAGUGUGUCACCAUAGAGCCACCUGUCCCAGAAGAGGAUUCGCUGGACCCCAGAGUGAGGGAUGCUUUGGGAGUCUACACUGAUGACUGGCUUAUCAUCCAGAGGAAGUAUCAGUGUUACAGCACUCUGCAGACACCUCAUAACUCUGAGCGGCAGCGUGAGAAGCAGAAAGGACUCGUCAAACAGACGUUUGAGCUGGAUGAGGCUGCUAUUGAGCGCCAGGAUGAGCAGGAUGACCCAAAGAGGCACUCGGUGUCGCUGGAUGACACUCCGCGGGGGAGCUGGGCUUCCAGUAUAUUUGACCUAAAAAACUCCAUUCCGGAUGCACUAUUGCCUUCAGUGCUUGAGCGCACUGCUGCUGAGGAGAUGGACAGACGCAACGCUGACAACCGCCAGCAGGGCCGCCACAACCAUCUCCUGGGACUCUAUCCUGCACCGGAUGAGGACGAGGCCGUCGAGAGGUGUGCCAUUCCAGAAGUGCCCAAGGAGCACAGCGGACAGAGGAUCAUGGUCAAGUGUUUGUCGCUCAAAUUCGAGAUUGAAAUCGAGCCAAUAUUUGGAUCACUGGCUCUGUAUGAUGUUAGAGAAAAGAAAAAGAUCUCUGAGGAUUUCCACUUUGACCUGAACUCAGAUCAGAUGAAGGGCUUGCUCCGACCACACAACCCCCAUGUAGCCAUCUCCACCCUGGCCCGAUCCGCCAUCUUCUCCAUUACAUACCCGUCUCCUGAAAUCUUCCUGGUCAUCAAGCUGGAGAAAGUCCUUCAGCAGGGAGAUAUUGGUGAAUGCUGUGAGCCGUACAUGGUCAUGAAGGAGUCCGACUCCAUUAAGCAUAAAGAGAAGCUGGAGAAGUUGAGGGCUCAGGCCGAGCAGAUGUGCUCCAGGCUGGGUGGAUUUCGCAUGCCCUUUGCCUGGACUGCAAUUCAUUUACUGAACAUUGUCAGCAGCGUUGGAGGCCUGGACCGCUCCGAUUCAGACUCAGACACGGAGCGAAAGGGGACGUGGAAUGAGAGGAAGAAGAAGGGAUUUGAAAGGAUGAGUGUAGGAGAGGACAUGUGCAACUUCACGAACUUCCGUCCGGCCACUCUCACAGUCACCAACUUUUUUAAACAGGAAGGGGACAGACUGAGUGAUGAAGACUUAUAUAAGUUUCUGGCAGACAUGAGGAGGCCGUCAUCAGUGCUGCGUCGACUCAGGCCUGUGACAGCUCAGCUAAAGAUAGACAUCUCUCCGGCUCCUGAGGCCCCACACUACUGUCUGUCUCCAGAGCUGCUUCAUGUCAAGCCUUACCCCGAUCCCCGUGUGCGUCCCACUAAAGAAGUGCUGGAGUUUCCCGCUCGCUACGUCUACACCCCUCACACUACAUACAGGAACUUGCUGUACGUUUACCCUCAGUCCGUGAACUUCAGCAGCCGGCAGGGUUCGGUGAGGAACAUUGCUGUGAAGGUGCAGUUCAUGGCAGGAGAGGAUCCCAGUCAGGCCAUGCCGGUCAUUUUUGGAAAGUCAAGCUGUGCAGAGUUUUAUAAGGAGGCGUACACUCCAGUCAUCUACCAUAACAAGUCCCCCGAGUUCUAUGAGGAGGUGAAGAUGAAGAUCCCCGCCAACCUCACAGACAACCACCACCUGCUCUUCACCUUCUAUCACAUCAGCUGCCAGCCUAAGCAGAACACCCUUCUGGAGACGCCCGUGGGCUACACGUGGAUCCCCCUCAUGCAGCAUGGCCGUCUGCGCUCCGGCUCCUUCAGUCUCCCUGUGUCUGUGGAGAAACCUCCACCCAGCUACUCUGUCCUCACUCCUGACGUCCAGCUACCAGGGAUGAAAUGGGUGGACAAUCAUAAAGGGGUCUUUAAUGUUGAGGUGAAGGCAGCCUCAUCUGUUCACACACAGGAUCCGCACCUGGACAAGUUCUUCACGCUGGUAUAUGUUCUGGAAGAGUACUCUUUCCCCUUUCGUCUGAAGGACGUGAUCAUCACAGAGUCCAACGUGGAGGCGGAGCUGAAGGCCAGCAUGGCGGCUCUGAAGGGGGCGCUGCUGGACACCUGUGUUCGCUUUUUGCAUCAGCUGAUGAGCAAACUCAUAUUACUGAUCGUACACCCACCUGUCAUAGCAGGACAGAUCGUAAAUCUCGGCCGUGCUGCGUUUGAAGCCAUGGCCCUGUUGGUAAACCAGAUCCAUAAGAAUUUGGAAGGAAACCAGGACCAUCACGGCCGCAACAAUCUGCUGUCCUCCUACAUCCACUACUGCUUCCAUCUGCCCACAACAGAGCCUGUGUCUCCCCCUGCAGUGGGAGCUGCAGCAUAUGAUCUGCCCAUCCACUAUGCCACGCUUUCUAGGGCCACAUCAAGACCCAGUGCCCUGCUGCUGUCCCGCUCUAAGAGCAUUAGUAACUCUAACCCUGACCUGGCCUCUACCCCCGCCACUCCUGAUGAGGAGGUGCAGAGGAUCAUCGGCAGCAAGGGAAUAGACCGCUCUCAUUCCUGGGUAAACUCUGCUUACGCUCCAGGGGGCUCGAGGGCCGUGCUCCGCCGGAACCCCAACUCGAGCUGUGAGCUCAAGCAGGCCAGUGAGCGAGCCUGUAAUCGCAUGUCCGCCUACAUCGAGACUACCUCCCUUCUCUGUCCUCCCUCCAGGCAGAUCGCCAAGAAGCUGCUUCAUGAAGAGUUGGCUCUGCAGUGGGUCGUGAGCACCAGCACCGUAAGGGAGGCGUCUCUGCAGCAGGCCUGGUUCUUCUUCCAGCUCAUGGUGAAGAGCAUGUCCCAUCAUCUGUUCCUGUCCUCACGCCUGGACAUGCCCCGACGCCAGCGCUUUCCAGACCGCUUUGUGGAUGACAUUGCAGCCUUAGUGUGUGCCAUCAGCGCAGACAUAGCCAGCAGAUAUCACAAGGAUGUGGAGCUUGUGGAGAGGUUAAACAGCAGUUUGGCCUUUUUCCUUAAUGACCUGCUCUCUCUCAUGGAUAGAGGCUUUGUUUUCAACCUUGUUCGCUCUUAUUAUAAACAGAUUAAUAAUAAGCUGCACACAGCGCAGAAUCCCAGCUCUCUAACAGCGCUGAGGAUGGACUUCAUCCGGAUCAUCUGCAGUCACGAGCACUACGUCAUCCUCAACCUACCCUGCGCCACUCUUAGUCCUCCAGCAUCCCCUUCACCCUCCACAUCUUCCACCACCUCACAGAGCUCUGCAUUCUCCAGUCAUGCUCAGGAUCAAGGUGUGGUCAGCAUGUUUGAGCUGUCAGUGCCAUUUCGCCAGCAGCACUUUCUCUCAGGCCUGCUGUUAGCUGAACUGUCACUCAUCCUGGAGCCGGAUGGAGAGAGUGUGUUCUUUCUCCAUAAGAAGGCCAUCAGUGCGCUUCACUCUCUGCUAUGCAGUCACGAUGCAGACCCCAGAUACACAGACCCUCAGGUUCGCUCGCACGUGGCCCAGCUCUACCUGCCCCUCAUCCCCAUCAUCAUGGAGACGCUGCCUAAGCUCCACGACUUCACCGACACGUCUCCACAGCGGGUGCGUCACGCCUCGGCGCUCGCCGAUGAUAACGACCCAGACAACGGCACCAUUAGCCAGUCUGUUGCCAUGGCAAUCGCUGGCUCACCGCUGCCCCACUCCAAAGCCAAUCCCUUCACUCUGCCAUCAGUGGCUGGCCGCCAGUGUGGUGUCCUCUCAGCGGAGUGCAGCAGGACGCUGCUGGUGUGUUUUCUGUGGGUCUGGAAGAACGCUGAUGCAGGGCUGCUGGAGCGAUGGGUUUCAGACCUGUCUGUGCCACAGAUCAACCGUCUGCUGGAUCUGCUCCACCUCUGUCUGUCCUGUUUCGAAUACAAGGGAAAGAAAGCUCUGGAGAGAAUCAACAGCCUGACCUUUAAGAAGUCUCAGGACAUGAAGGCCCGUCUUGAGGAGGCCAUACUGGGCACUAUUGGAGCAAGACAAGAGAUGGUCCGCCGCUGCAGAGAGCGCAGUCCAUAUGGAGGACAGGAAAAUGUGCGCUGGAGGAAGAACGUCACUCACUGGAGGCAGAAUGCAGACAGAGUGGACAAAACGAAGGCAGAGGUGGAGCAGGAGUCGGUGGUGGAUGGAAACUUGGCGACUGAAGCGGCUCUCAUAGCCCUCGACACACUGGAGAUCAUUGUCAAAACGGUGGUGAUGUCCGAGCUGAAGGAGAGUGUUCUGGGUGGAGUGUUGAGGGUCCUCCUUCACAGUAUGGCAGGAAACCAGAGCGCCCUCUUCCUGCAGCACUGCUUCAGUACACAGAGAGCUUUAGUCUACAAGUUUCCAGAGAUGUUGUUUGAAGAGGACACUGAGCUCUGUGCAGAUCUGUGUUUGCGGUUACUGCGUCACUGCAGCAGCAGCGUGAGCUCUGUCCGCAGCCAUGCCAGCGCCUCGCUCUACCUUCUCAUGAGACAGAACUUCGAGAUCGGAAACAACUUUGCCCGUGUAAAGAUGCAGGUCACCAUGUCUCUGUCUUCACUCGUGGGAACCUCUCAAACGUUUAAUGAAGAACAUUUGCGACGCUCCUUGAAAACAAUUCUUACGUAUGCAGAGGAUGACCUAGAGCUCAGAGAUUCCCCCUUCCCUGAGCAGGUCCAGGAUCUGGUCUUCAAUCUCCACAUGAUCCUCACUGACACUGUGAAAAUGAAGGAGCACCAACAGGACCCAGAGAUGCUCAUAGACCUCAUGUACAGGAUUGCUAAAGGCUAUCAGAACUCUCCAGACCUGAGACUGACUUGGUUGCAGAACAUGGCAGGGAAGCACUCAGAAAAAGGCAAUCAUGCAGAGGCAGCUCACUGUCUUGUGCACAGCGCCGCCCUGGUGGCCGAGUACCUCAACAUGCUUGAAGACUGCCGCUACCUCCCUAUCGGCUGUGUCUCCUUCCAGAGCAUUUCAUCGAAUGUUCUGGAGGAGUCUGCGGUGUCUGAUGACAUCCUUUCCCCGGAGGAGGAGGGCAUCUGUUCAGGAAAGUACUUCAGUGAGUCUGGCCUCGUGGGACUGCUGGAGCAGGCAGCUGCCUCUUUCAACAUGGCUGCAAUGUACGAGGCCAUAAACGAGGUUUAUAAGAUCCUCUGUCCCAUUCAUGAGGCCAACAGAGACUUUAAGAAGCUGGCCUCGGUGCACGGCAAACUGCAGGACGCAUUUAACAAAGUGUACAAUCAGAGCUCAGGAUGGGAGAGGAUGUUUGGCACCUACUUUCGUGUGGGCUUCUAUGGGUGCCGCUUUGGAGAUCUGGAUGAGCAGGAGUUCGUCUAUAAAGAGCCAUCUAUUACUAAACUGGCCGAAAUCUCACAUAGACUUGAGGAGUUUUACUCUGAAAGAUUUGGUGAUGAAGUGGUGGCGAUUAUCAAAGACUCCAACCCUGUUGACAAGAACAAACUGGACCCCAAUAAGGCCUAUCUUCAGAUCACUUACGUGGAGCCUUUCUUCGACACCUACGAGCUGAAGGAGCGCAUCACAUACUUUGACAAGAACUACAACCUACGCACCUUCAUGUACUGCACGCCAUUCACGCUGGAUGGCCGGGCUCACGGAGACCUUCAUGAGCAGUACAAGCGCAAAACCAUCCUCACCACUUCACAUGCUUUUCCCUACAUCAAGACCCGCAUCAACGUCAUCCACAAAGAGGAGAUUAUCCUGAUGCCAAUGGAGGUGGCCAUCGAGGACAUGCAGAAGAAAACUCAAGAACUGGCCUUCGCCACCCAUCAGGACCCUGCAGACCCAAAGAUGCUUCAGAUGGUGCUGCAGGGUUGUGUCGGCACCACUGUGAAUCAGGGUCCACUGGAAGUGGCUCAGGUGUUCCUGUCUGAAAUCCCAGAAGACCCCAAACUCUUCCGGCAUCACAAUAAACUGCGACUCUGCUUCAAGGACUUUACUAAAAGGUGUGAAGAUGCUCUGAGGAAGAACAAGUCUCUGAUCGGCCCGGAUCAGAAAGAGUACCAUCGAGAGCUAGAGAGGAACUACCUCAAGCUGAAAGAGGCUCUGUUUCCCCUCAUCAACCGCAAGAUCCCGCAACUCUACAGACCUCUGCCUCUGCCCACCCUGCCAACACAGAGGAAUUCUCUCAGUCGCUCCAGUUUUCGGAGGCUGGAGUGUUGAGGUGUGGCCGAUCUGGACGCAAAACCGCACAUGAUCUCCAUCUCCAUCAUCAAACCAACACAAAAAAACCACACGUCACAUUCCUGCGUCAGACACGAGCCCUCCUGAGCCUCCGUCUGUUUACACUCAGCUUUAUCUGCUGUAAACACGCUCGUUAUGAGCAUCAGCAGACAAAACUGUAGCUUCUUGCUCAACACUGGAGGUAAUUCUAGCAUUUCACCGACACAGGGCGUUAAGAUGCUCCUCCACACUUCCUGCUUUUGUUUGUUUGUGCUCGUCUGUCUUGUCUUGUGUGAGAAAGAGGGCAAACGAAGUCCGUCCAGACGUUCCUGUGAAUGUUCUGCCACAUAAAAAAAAAACCCUUGCACUGCUGUUUGAUUUAUGACUGGAUUAAAGCGUUUGUGUCUUUUUAAAGACAGAUCGCUGAGCCUAGAGACUCAGGUUUAAUCUUCCGUUUCAUUUGUAGAAAUUGUUUUUUAGAGCAGUUCUGCAGAGAAACACUGGGCUGAUUUCACGAGUUUAGAGGAUGAGUUAAAAGUUUGGUGUCAGUGUGAUUUGUUUUGGGGCUUUUAAAAGAAGUCUACUCUGCUCACCAAGGCUGUGUUUAUUUCCUCACAAAUGCAGUAACAAAACUGAAAUAUUAUACAAAUAUUAAAUUAACGCUUUCUUAUUUAUUGUGACUUAAGGCUAAUUAACUAGCUAUUAGUUCUAUUACUCCAGUGUUAAGUGUUUCAUGACCCUUGAGAAAUCAGUCUAAUGUGAUAAUAAAAAAGAAAAAUGUAUUAUUAUUAUUAAUAAUACAUUAGUAUUAUUAUAUAUAUAUUAUUAGUAUUAUUAUAUAUAUAUAUUGUUAUUUUUAAAACUUUCUAAACGUAUAAAUAAGGCAAAUGAAAUGUAAUGUGAAAUACAAAAACUAAAAUGUAUCAAGGUUUCCACAAAUACUAUGAAACAAAAAUGUAUACAGUACAUUGAGGAUUGUAAGGAUCACUGUUAAUGUUUGAGUAUCGCUAAUAAUUGAACAUCAAAUCAUCACAUCAUUGUGAUUUCUGAAGGAUCAAGUUAAACACUUGUGACUGGAGUAAUGAGGCAAAAAAAUGAGUAAAAAAAAGUAAUGAGUAAAAAAAAAUAUGUUUAAGCUACAUUCAAAAAAGAAACCAGUUACUUUAAAAUGUAGUCAUUUUUGACUAUUUAAAGUGUUUUCCAGUAUUUAUGAUCAAAUAAAUGCAGUCUUGGGUAAUAAACAUGCUUUAAGAAAACAUCAAAAGAAAGCUGACUGAUCUUAAACGUUUGACAGAUGAAUUUUUUGGACGUGUAUCCAUUUAGAAGGCAUUAUUCACUGUAGUAAAUAACUGGAAAACAUCCCACAUCGCACUAACGAAUAUAGCACACUAACAUUUCUGCACUGACUGACAUGAGUUUUCACCAAAUCCAACUUUCAGGCAUAUUUUACUGUUCAUGUUUUUGUAAAUGCACAGCGAUGUGACAUAUACUAUACACUAAAUGCACAAGUAUGUGAACUGGAGUUAAAUACUGCCAUUUUUUGUUUAAAUUAAAUAGUCUUUGAAUGUAGGAUCCUGUCCUGAAUUAGCAAACUUAGCACCUAGUUGACUGCUGUAAUAUCCGUCCUGCACUACUUUAAUGUUUGUAUGACCUCUCUACUGCCUGUCUCCACACUAUACUGUGCAGUUUGCUGACCUAAAUACUGUAUUUUUAAUAACCAAAUUGUUUUUUUAUUUAUUUGUAUCUUUGUCUUUUUUUCAUUACCAGUUUUACUUUUUAUAUUAAAAGAAAUUUCUCCUAAAUAUUUCUA